rnacentral:lncRNA from 1 species
UCCCACAGGGGGAAAAAAAACCUCAUUUGUAUAUUUUUUUAUUCAAUAUGCUUUCCUCUCAGGCAAAAAAAAAAUAUUGGGCUGUGGGCUCAGUUUCAUAGGGAAGACGCUUGAAAGUAGGCAAGAUUUGAAGAUUUAGGGAAAAAGUGGUACUGGUAGAAGGAAUAAAUUAAAGAAUAUUUGAAAGAUCUUGCUGAACAGUUAGCAUUUGACAAUCUUCAAAGGGCAAA